GGAAGGGCUUAGGGCUUAAUAAGUCUCAUUGCGUGCAUCGGCUAUGCGGGGGGUGUCUUUAUAGAAGAUGCAAUCGAUAUUAAGAAAUAAUGGUACUUAAACUAAGUAUAAAUCACAUGUUUGCUAUUGCUUGGAAUGAUAUUUAAUUUGAGUGAUAAUAAUUAAAGAGAGUGAACAAUUGGAUAAGAAGG
rnacentral:rRNA from 1 species